rnacentral:SRP_RNA from 1 species
GCCGGGUGUGGUGGCGCACACCUGUAAUUCCAGAUACUUGGGAGGCUGAGGCAAGAGAAUCGCUUGAACCCAGGAGGCGGAGGUUGCAGUGAGCCGAGAUCAUGCCACUGUACUCCAGCCUGGGUGACAGAGCAAGACUAUGUCUCAA